CUGCCCAUCAGAAGGGGAUAACACUUGGAACCAGGUGCUAAUACCGUAUAACACUAUUUUCCGCAUGGAAGAAAGUUGAAAGGCGCUUUUGCGUCACUGAUGGAUGGACCCGCGGUGCAUUAGCUAGUUGGUGAGGUAACGGCUCACCAAGGCCACGAUGCAUAGCCGACCUGAGAGGGUGAUCGGCCACACUGGGACUGAGACACGGCCCAGACUCCUACGGGAGGCAGCAGUAGGGAAUCUUCGGCAAUGGACGAAAGUCUGACCGAGCAACGCCGCGUGAGUGAAGAAGGUUUUCGGAUCGUAAAACUCUGUUGUUAGAGAAGAACAAGGAUGAGAGUAAAAUGUUCAUCCCUUGACGGUAUCUAACCAGAAAGCCACGGCUAACUACGUGCCAGCAGCCGCGGUAAUACGUAGGUGGCAAGCGUUGUCCGGAUUUAUUGGGCGUAAAGCGAGCGCAGGCGGUUUCUUAAGUCUGAUGUGAAAGCCCCCGGCUCAACCGGGGAGGGUCAUUGGAAACUGGGAGACUUGAGUGCAGAAGAGGAGAGUGGAAUUCCAUGUGUAGCGGUGAAAUGCGUAGAUAUAUGGAGGAACACCAGUGGCGAAGGCGGCUCUCUGGUCUGUAACUGACGCUGAGGCUCGAAAGCGUGGGGAGCGAACAGGAUUCGAUACCCUGGUAGUCCACGCCGUAAAC
rnacentral:rRNA from 1 species